GCCGAGGUGGCGAAACGGCAGACGCGCUGCGUUCAGGGCGCAGUGUCCUUAUGGACGUGUGGGUUCAAAUCCCUCCCUCGGCACCA
rnacentral:tRNA from 2 species